ensembl:snoRNA Gm22899 predicted gene, 22899
ACUUCCCUCAAGGUGUUGCAGAUGUGGCUGCUGUGUCACAUGUACAGCAGUAGGUGGCAGAGAGGAGAGAGGCUAUGUCUACACUCAGUGUUCUGACCUAUGAACAUCUAAAUGAUUAGUAGCCUAACAAU